AAAAUAUAAAAAUAAUAUAGGAUAUAGGAUAUUGCAGAUAUUUUCUAAUCUAAUAUAACAUAUAAAUAUAAAUAAAUAUAAAUUUAUAAAAUAUAAUUCUUAUUGUAUAUUUUAAAUUUUUAUAGACUCAUAUCACUAAUAACUAUUUAAAUUUCAAAUAUAAAUAUAAAUUUUAUUUGAUUUAAUGUGACGUGCAUUGCACGUGCACUAUGACUAGUAUAAAUAUAUAAUUGAGCUAGAAUACUUUUAGAAGCACCAACCCCUUGGUGCUUCUAGAUUUCUAGCCCUUGGAUCUACUCAUUGAUUGCUAAUAGUCCUUAGAUUAAACACUAUUCCCCCUAUCACCAUCAUCCCAACCUUACAUCUCUACAUCUAAUGGCUAAAAACUCAAAAGCCCCACACUCUUGAUGCUUUUGAGUGUAUUCUAUCUCAACUAUAUAUAUAUAACUAGGCUGGAAUACUAUUAAUAACACCAAUGACUUGGUGCUAUUAAGUUUUCUAUCAUUGGAUUAAAACGUGUGUGGUUAGGGUGAUGUGGGUUUCCUAGGGUUCAGUGGGUGGUUGGUUAAAUAGUAUAAUCGAACGGAUGAAAAUGAUAAAAGAGGUAAACUUAACGGUAGAAAUUUGAUAGCACUAAAUGUUUUGUGUUAUCGAUAGUAUCCCAACCGAACUAUAUAUAUAUAUAUAUAUGUAUGUAUAUAUAUAUAUAUAUAUAUAUAUAUAUAUAUAUAUAGNAUAUGAUUGCAGAAAAUGGUGUAAAAAAUAGAGUUUAGUUUGAAAAACUGAGCCAAUAUAUCUAAAUGUUGAUUAAAGUCCUAAUUACAGAAGUUUUUGUCUAAUUGCAGUUGAAAGUCCUAAUUAUAGAAGUUGGAUCAGUAGUUAUGCUAUAGUUGGGGGAGAAGACCCCUUUAUGGUGCUCGAUUUACUAAUAGGAUUUUUUUUUUCUUGUUUAGUUUAGAAGUUGACCUAAGAAACACAAAUACAAACAAAACACAAAAGUUUUGAAGUCCUCUAGAGUUUUGUUCCUAAACUUCCAGAUAGAUAUGUGACAUUAAAAGUAAUUAAACAAAUAUCUCAUUGAUAAAUAUUUUCUUACAAUAGUAUACUAUUGAAAAAAGGGAAAGAAAAUUCGUAUACGUGGCAAGUGAAAUUGGGUGAUAGUUUUAUAGAUUGAAGAACAAUAGUGUUGUAGCUUUGUAUGGGUCUCAGCUAAUAGCAAGCUUAACACCAACGACAAUAAAAUACAGAAAUGUAUUGAAAUAAUUUUGCAGAUUAGCACUUAGGGGCGCGCCAGAAUAUCCUAAUUAUACAAAACAUAAUUACCUUGCUAAAGGCCUUAUGAUAAGCCUUAUUGACAAUGGAAGAGAUAAUACAUUAAAUGCAGCUUGUUAAAGGCCCAUUAUCUUGCAUCUCCUUUUGUGGUGGAGAGCAUUUGAGAUUGGUAAAAGAAAGGAAUUAAUUUGAUAGUAGAUCUAUUUUUUAACAGUUGGAAGAAAUAAGUAGAAAACAUACUUAUGUUGUUGAAAACUAAGAUGAAACCAAACUAAGAUGAAAGGAAGGGUGUUUCGGGGAUCGUAGAGAAAAUAAAAAUUGAGAAUUUUUACCCUGAAGUGAAGGGUUUGAGGAUAGGACUUCAUCUACGGUUUUAAGGUCGAAUUCGUUUCAGCGGCGCAUAGGACCUACUUCUGAGUUGCUCCAUUCCUGUAGGUUAACAUCGAAAACUUCAAAAAGCUUGCCUACAGAGGGAGAGAAAUAGAUAAAGAGUUUGGGUGCGAGUGUUAGUAGGUCCAUUCGGCAGGAAGAACCAGUUGGAGGGGAGGAGGCUGACACGGCAUCAUCCGCUGCUACUUUUUCCCCACCACCACUGCUGCAUGCUCUGCGCUCUGCACCUGCUGCGGAUACUCAUAUCCUCCUCUCACACCCUCCGAUGCCCACGGAGAACCCUCUGAUCAGCUCGGCAUUUCAUCGAACAGGGGCUCGCGAAGAGGUCGGAGAGGGUGCCAGGGAGAGGGCGCGGUGCCGGCGAUAUAUAUAUAUAUANGGUUGGUUAAAUAGUAUAAUCGAACGGAUGAAAAUGAUAAAAGAGGUAAACUUAACGGUAGAAAUUUGAUAGCACUAAAUGUUUUGUGUUAUCGA
rnacentral:lncRNA from 1 species